UACGUAGGGGGCAAGCGUUGUCCGGAAUCAUUGGGCGUAAAGAGCGUGUAGGCGGCCCGGUUAGUCCGCUGUGAAAGUCCAGGGCUCAACCCUGGAAUGCCGGUGGAUACUGUCGGGCUAGAGUCCGGAAGGGGCGAGUGGAAUUCCUGGUGUAGCGGUGAAAUGCGCAGAUAUCAGGAGGAACACCAAUGGCGAAGGCAGCUCGCUGGGACGUGACUGACGCUGAGACGCGAAAGCGUGGGGAGCAAACAGG
rnacentral:rRNA from 1 species